rnacentral:rRNA from 1 species
UUCCAGACUCCUACGGGAGGCAGCAGUGGGGAAUAUUGGGCAAUGGGCGCAAGCCUGACCCAGCAACGCCGCGUGAAGGAAGAAGGCUUUCGGGUUGUAAACUUCUUUUCUCAGGGACGAAGCAAGUGACGGUACCUGAGGAAUAAGCCACGGCUAACUACGUGCCAGCAGCCGCGGUAAUACGUAGGUGGCAAGCGUUAUCCGGAUUUACUGGGUGUAAAGGGAGCGUAGGCGGGACUGCAAGUUGGGUGUCAAAUCUACCGGCUCAACCGGUAGCCGCACUCAAAACUGCAGUUCUUGAGUGAAGUAGAGGCAGGCGGAAUUCCUAGUGUAGCGGUGAAAUGCGUAGAUAUUAGGAGGAACACCAGUGGCGAAGGCGGCCUGCUGGGCUUUUACUGACGCUGAGGCUCGAAAGUGUGGGGAGCAAACAGGAUUAGAUACCCCAGUA